rnacentral:rRNA from 1 species
CCCUUAGAUGUUCUGGGCUGCACGCGCGCUACACUGAAGCUAUCAACACGUUUUCCCUCCCUGAGAAGGGCGGGUAACCUUUUGAAUCAGCUUCGUGGUAGGGAUCGGGGCUUGCAAUUGUUCCCCGUGAACCAGGAAUUCCUAGUAGACGCGAGUCAUAAGCUCGCAUCGAUUAAGUCCCGGCCCUUUGUACACACCGCCCGUCGCUACUACCGAUUGAACGUUUUAGUGAGGCAUUUGGACCGACGCAUCUCAGUUUAACCGCUGGUUUGUGUUGGAAAGACUUCCAAACUUGAGCGUUUAGAGGAAGUAAAAGUCGUAACA